GUAGCCAUUGUUAAAAACCUCAAGUGGUGAAUUUUCUAAUAAGUUUGUGUUGUUCUUAAUAGGCGAAAAUCAAGCUGGCAAAAAGGCAGUUUUUGUUCAAUAGUACGAAGUAGUGAAUAGUAUUACGCCAGCCAUUGUAGCCAUAAAAGCAUCAUUGUUCUAUUGUUUGCUUGUGAAGAGUUGU